UCGGACUUAGCGGCGGACGGGUGAGUAACGCGUGGGAAUUUGCCUUUCGGUACGGAACAACCGCUGGAAACGGCGGCUAAUACCGCAUACGCCCUAAGGGGGAAAGGCCGGGAUCUUCGGACCGGUCGCUAUUGAAUGAGCCUGCGUAAGAUUAGCUAGUUGGUAGGGUAAAGGCCUACCAAGGCGACGAUCUUUAGCUGGUCUGAGAGGACGAUCAGCCACACUGGAACUGAGACACGGCCCAGACUCC
rnacentral:rRNA from 1 species